GUGCUCACUUCAGGAGCACAUAUACUAAAAUUGGAAUGAUACAGAGAAGAUUAUUAGCAUGGCCCCUGCACAAGGAUGACACACAAAAUCAUCUAUUUUUAAAUUUUUUA
ensembl:snRNA U6 U6 spliceosomal RNA